rnacentral:rRNA from 1 species
GACGAACGCUGGCGGCGUGCCUAAUACAUGCAAGUAGAACGCACAGUUUAUACCGUAGCUUGCUACACCAUAAACUGUGAGUUGCGAACGGGUGAGUAACGCGUAGGUAACCUGCCUGGUAGCGGGGGAUAACUAUUGGAAACGAUAGCUAAUACCGCAUAAUAUUAAUUAUUGCAUGAUAAUUGAUUGAAAGAUGCAAUUGCAUCACUACCAGAUGGACCUGCGUUGUAUUAGCUAGUAGGUGAGGUAACGGCUCACCUAGGCGACGAUACAUAGCCGACCUGAGAGGGUGAUCGGCCACACUGGGACUGAGACACGGCCCAGACUCCUACGGGAGGCAGCAGUAGGGAAUCUUCGGCAAUGGACGAAAGUCUGACCGAGCAACGCCGCGUGAGUGAAGAAGGUUUUCGGAUCGUGAAGCUCUGUUGUAAGAGAAGAACGGGUGUGAGAGUGGAAAGUUCACACUGUGACGGUAUCUUACCAGAAAGGGACGGCUAACUACGUG